rnacentral:tRNA from 1 species
ACAGAUAUACCUUUUUGGUUCAGGGUGGUGCUCUGUAAAAGCAUUGGCUUACGCCGCAGUGAGUUCGAAUCUCACAUCUGUA